rnacentral:lncRNA from 1 species
ACCUCAACCUACAUGCUCCACUCACAAAGCUCCAACAGACAAGCUUCAACAAAAGAAAAUUCAAAGAACUUAGCGAAGAAGGCUUUGGUGAUUUAACACAAUACGUUGACAUGAAGGAAAGCUUAUUUAUUGAUAUCCCCGAUAAAUUACAAAUAUGUACAUAUACUUGAGUCAAAAUAAACAAACAAGAGGGAGCCUUCACAAAGGUUGCUUAGGAGAAGUCUCGGCAGUCGGU